GACCAUGUGCAUUCCAAUAAUAGAGCUACAACCAUCAUUUAUCAUUAGUACAUAUCAUCUGUUGCCCCUCGACACAAUAAUAUCAUAUUCAGACUUGAAUCACCAGCACAGUUUGUGACCUACUUUUCAGUUGCCCUCGAACGUGACGGUCAUCCCCAGAAUGCUCCUCUUCAUAGUGGCCUUGGAGUUGGUAGAAAGACUGCAGGUCCUUCAGGCACAGCGGGCAAAGAAAUCCCUCCUUCACCUCACCUGAGCCCUCAAAAGGGGUUGGGUAGCUCGAAGCCAUGAUUGGGGCUGCCAGUGUUGUGGAAGUGUGUCACAGGAAGCGCAAAGGAUGCCAUGAUAGAUCCAUCACACUGGAAACCAACGAUAAAAGCGCAAAUAAAGCAACGAUGUUAGGAGCAACUGGUAAUUGACACUUCCUUAUGGUAGCUUCACCACACUGAGGGGCUUAUAAACAGCAACAUCGAUUGUUGGAUGACAACUUCCUUCCUUCAGCCAGGACACCGAAGAUGGGUCGUAGAUGGGUCUUGUUAGUGACGUAUGGAUUGAGCGCAGCAGGAGGCUCUCCGCGCUAUGGUGAAGCAAAUCGUCCACAGUCCUCUGGUCCGGCUCCUCUUCAGCGGAGAUGCUCUGUCCUUUGCACACCAUCUUCAAGUUGCAGACCAGGACAGAAGCCAAGACGAAAAGACAUGUCAUCUUCAUGGCGUGACUCUUGCGUAGCCUGUGGAAGACAUUGAAAACUGAGGCACGUC